ACGAACGCUGGCGGCGUGCCUAAUACAUGCAAGUAGAACGCUGAAGAGAGGAGCUUGCUCUUCUUGGAUGAGUUGCGAACGGGUGAGUAACGCGUAGGUAACCUACCUUGUAGCGGGGGAUAACUAUUGGAAACGAUAGCUAAUACCGCAUAACAAUGGAUGACACAUGUCAUUUAUUUGAAAGGGGCAAUUGCUCCACUACAAGAUGGACCUGCGUUGUAUUAGCUAGUAGGUGAGGUAAUGGCUCACCUAGGCGACGAUACAUAGCCGACCUGAGAGGGUGAUCGGCCACACUGGGACUGAGACACGGCCCAGACUCCUACGGGAGGCAGCAGUAGGGAAUCUUCGGCAAUGGGGGCAACCCUGACCGAGCAACGCCGCGUGAGUGAAGAAGGGUUUCGGAUCGUAAAGCUCUGUUGUAAGUCAAGAACGGGUGUGAGAGUGGAAAGUUCACACUGUGACGGUAGCUUACCAGAAAGGGACGGCUAACUACGUG
rnacentral:rRNA from 1 species